UUCGUCUCCUUCUUUCCGUCGUAUGGUUUCAGUUACUGGAAAAACAUUGAGAGCCACUGCUGUUAACCGAGACUCCUCCCCUCUUCCCCCGAAUGUAACAGCGCCGGGGAGGAGCUUGCACCUGACCACAGGCCACAUUCCAACCAAAUCAAAACAUGGCGGCGGGGCCGAGCGAGGUCAGCACCGCCUCAGUGUCGGUUUUCAACAACGCUCCUGACUAUGAGUUGACAGACAUAAAUACAAAAUCUUUCAACGUCGGUUCCUUCGGCAGUCUGUGGCGAGAGAAACUAAAGAGGAUGUACCUAGCGUUGGAUAAUAAAGAGGACGUGGAGAUGGGGCAGCAGAUGGUUGACGAGCUGGGCCUCCCGACGGACAUGGUGGAAGAACUGCAGAUGGUGUGCGGCAUAGAUACGCUGGAUUGCUCAGAGAAGACACCCAGUACAGAUGUCAUUCCUCAAGAUACAGAUCUGAUCACAUUACAAAUUCGAAAGAAAGUAAUUGAAAAGAGAGAGGAACGCUUGGUAUGUGACCGUACUUGUCGGCAAGAAACGUUUGCACAUGAGCAUGAAAUGCGGACGGUGGGAAGGAAGCCCAAUAAUCCAGAGGAUUUGGUUCCAGCCGGAGAGAUUAUCCUAACUAUUAAUGUGUACUCCCCUGUUAUAUGUACCAAGCACAGAGAGAAGAAACCCCAUCAUACCAUGCUUGUUCUGGGUAGUCAGAAACUUACAGAACUGAGGGACGCUAUUUCAUGUGUCAGUGAUCUUCAGAUUGGUGGAGAGUGCAGCAACACACCAGAUCUAGCUCCAGAACAUAUUAGCAAGGACUUGUAUAAAUCAGCAUAUUUCUUCUUUGAAGAAACCUUCUAUAAUGACUUGAGAUAUCCUGAAUGUAGAGAUCUGAGCAGGACCAUUAUUGACUGGGUAGAGUCUCAUGACAGAGGUUAUGGCAAGUUUCAUACAGCUAAAAUGGAGGACUACACUUUCAAUGAAAUGUGUAUUAAAGUUGGUUAUCCAUACUUGUAUUGUCACCAAGGUGAUUGUGAGCAUCUCGUCAUCAUCACAGAUAUCAGUUUUUCUAGUCUAACUGGACAAACACGCACCGUAUACGUUUCCUCUUCACUGGUUUUCUGUAGAUGUGUCCUGCGCAUGCCCAGCAGGAGAAGAUUCACUCAAAUAUCCUUUUUAAUGUUGACAGAGGUAUUUUUAAAAAUGCCUAGUGUGGACGCCUGUCGUUUUUAUGCGAAACCGGCAUUGUCAAAAUUAUCCUGUCUAGUCUGGACGUAGCCUCAGGAUAGAGGGGUGUUCAUUGAAAUCAAAGAUGUGGAGAAAUUUCUUUAGCCACAAGUUGGUGAAUCUGUGGAAUUUAUUACCAUAGGCACCUGUAUUUAAGGCAGUGCUUCAUAGGUUCUUGAUUGGAUAUGGGAUCAAGGCUGGGAAAUGGGGCUGAGGAGGGGGGAAAAAGAUCAGCUAUGAUUGAAUGGUGGAACAGACUUGAUGGGCCAAACUACCUGAUUCUGCUCCUACAUCUUAUGGUGUUUAUACUCACAAAAGCUGAAUGCUUGCAAAUUUCCUGAAGUGCCUGGAACUUUCUUUCAGUUUAAAAACAAGCCAGAUUCUGCAAGUAAUUGCCUGAUUAACGUCAGUGCAUCAUUAAGUUGAAAUGAACUACCCUUCCUUUCGAUUCAGCCUAUGAAGCCAAAAAUGUUCUGCAGUCAACAAUAGUUUUGGUUCUAAAUCUGAGGGCAAGGUGAAAAUUGGAGACAAAGUUGAUGAAGCAGAUGAGCUCAGAAGUGGUGCAGAAAACAGCAUCAAUACAAUAGACAGUAGGUGCAGGAGUAGGCCAUUCAGCCCUUCUAGCCAGCACCACCAUUCACUGUGAUGAUGGCUGAUCAUACACAAUCAGUACCCCGUUCCUGCCCUCUCCGCAUAUCCCUUGACCCCGCUAUCUAUAAGAGCUCUAUCUACCUCUCUUUUGAAUGCAUCCAGAGACUUGGCCUCCACUGCCUUCUGGGGCAGAGCAUUCCACAUAUCCACCAUGCUCUGGGUGAAAAAGUUUUUCCAUAUCUCUGUUCUAAGUGGCCUACCCCUCAAUCUUAAACUGUGGCCUCUAGUUCUAGACUCACCCAUCUGCGGGAACAUGCUUCCUGCCUCCAGUGUGUCCAAUCCCUUAAUAAUCUUAUAUGUUUCAAUCAGAUCCCCUCUCAUCCUUCUAAAUUCCAGUGUAUGCAAGCCCAGUCGCUUCAAUCUUUUAACAUAUGACAGUCCCGCCAUUCCGGGAAUUGACCUCGUGUACCUAUGCUGCACUCCCUCAAUAGUAAGAAUGUCCUUCCUCAAAUUUGGAGACCAGAACUGCACACAAUACUCCAGGUGUGGUCUCACCAGGGCCCUGUACAGCUGCAGAGCUCUUUACUCUUAUACUCAAUUCCUCUUGUUAUAAAAGCCAGCAUGCCAUUAGCUUUCUUCACUGCCUGCUGUACCUGCAUGCUUGCUUUCAUUGACUGAUGUACAAGAACACCUAGAUAUCAUUGUACUUCCCCUUUUCCUAACUUGACUCCAUUCAUAUAGUAAUCUGCCUUCCUGUUCUUGCCACCAAAGUGGAUAACCUCACAUUUAUCCACAUUGAACUGCAUCUGCCAUACAUUUGCCCACUCACCCAACCUGUCCAAGUCACCCUGCAUUCUCAUAACAUCCUCCUGACAUUUCACACUGCCACCCAGCUUUGUGUCAUCAGAAAAUUUGCUAAUGUUACUUUUAAUCCCUUCACCUAAAUCAUUAAUGUAUAUUGUAAACAGCUGCGGUCCCAACACCGAACCUUGCAGUACCCCACUGGUCACAGCCUGCCAUUCCGAAAGGGACCUGUUAAUCACUACUCUUUGUUUCCUGUCAGCGAGCCAAUUUUCAAUCCAUGUCAGUACUCUGCCCCCAAUACCAUGUGCCCUAAUUUUGCCUACUAAUCUCCUAUGUGGGACUUUAUCAAAAGCUUUCUGGAAGUCCAGGUACACUACAUCCACUGGCUCUCCCUUGUCCAUUUUCAUAGUUACAUCCUCAAAAAACUCCAGAAGAUUAGUCAAGCAUGAUUUUCCUUUCAUAAAUCCAUGCUGACUCGGACUGAUCCUUCUACUGCUAUCCAAAUGUGUCGUAAUUUCCUCUUUUAUAAUUGACUCCAGUAUCUUUUCCACCACUGACGUCAGGCUAACCGGUCUAUAAUUCCCUGUUUUCUCUCUCCCUCCUUUCUUGAAAAGUGGGACAACAUUAGCCACCCACGAAUCAGCAGGAACUGUUCCUGAAUCUAUAGAACAUUGGAAAAUGAUUACCAGUGCAUCCAUGGUUUCUAGAGCCACCUCUUUAAGUACCCUGGGAUGCAGACCAUCAGGUCCCGGGGACUUAUCAGCCUUCAGACUCAAGUCUAUCCAACACCGUUUUUUGCCUAAUAUAAAUUUCCUUCAGUUCAUCCUUUACCCUAGUUCCUUUAGCUACUAUUGGGAGAUUGUGUCUUCGCUAGUGAAGACAGAUCCAAAGUACCUGUUCAACUCAUCUGCCAUUUCCUUGUUCCCCUUAAUAAAUUCACCCGUUUCUGUCUUCAAUGGCCCAAUUUUGGUCUUAACUAUUUUUUUGCUAUUCACAUACCUAAAGAAGCUUUUACUAUCCUCCUUUAUAUUCUUGGCUAGUUUACCUUCGUACCUCAUUUUUUCUUGGUGUAUUGCCUUUUUUGUUAUCUUCUGUUGCUCUUUAAAAGCUUCCCAGUACUCCGGUUUCCCGCUUAUCUUUGCUAUGUUAUAUUUCUUCUCUUUUAUUUUUAUACUGCCCUUUACUUCCCUUGUCAGCCACGGCCACCCCUUACUCCCCUUAGGAUCUUUCUUCCUCUUUGGAAUGAACUGAUCCUGCACCUUCUGCAUUAUUCCCAGAAAUACCUGCCAUUUUUGUUCCACUGUCUUCCCUGCUAGGGUAUUGUUCCAUUGAACUUUGGCCAGCUGCUCCCUCAUAGCUCCAUAGUUCCCUUUGUUCAACUGUAAUACAGCAGUUGAUGUAGUGCAGAAAUGGUUGAGGAAUGUUACCAAUGUAGCUGAAGAAAAGGCAGGUAUAACUGGGUCCAUGUAGGUGCCAUAGCUGCAAUUUGGAUUUGGAAAAAGUGGGAAGAGCGAAGAAAAAAUUGUUGGGAGGAGGGAAUGGUGGAGGGGUUUGAUUAGGUCUGUUGUAUAGAAAGAAGCAGGGGUCUUUAAAGUCUUCUUGAUAUGGGUUGCAAUUCCUUCCUGAUGCAGAUGCACAGGAAACAUGUGCCCAACCCAUGUAGCUACCUGAGGGGGUCACAGACUUGGACCCAAGAUCCUUCUGGGCAUCAUUAUUGUUAAGGGACUGUAAUUCACUUUACAUUGGAUCUCCCAAAUUAUAACACCUUAUCCUGAAUAUUUUGUUGUUAAAAUUUUUUUUCAGGGUAAUGGUUCUUCUUGUUCAUCCUAGCUAGGCCUCCUGUAAUUUUAUAUGCAACCAUUAAAGCUCCUCUCAGCUUUCUCUGGCUGAUGUAAAAGAUCCCAGCUAGUCAUUCUCCUUAAAUAAAAUUCACCAGGCUCAACAAUAUUCUUAGAUUGCCUCUUUUUAGAAUUUAGCAUGUUAUUAAGUAGUGAAGAGUGUAAAGACAAAGACUCUCUUUCAUGGAAUCAGAGUGGCUUUGUUUGACCUAACCUUCCUAUAACUUUGUGCAGAACGAUGAAAAUUUGUUAUGUCACUUUGUAUUUUACCUUUAGCUGCCUUAUCUAUAUUUUCUUUCUUGACUACUACCACACCAAUCAGUAAUUUAAUCCUGUUUAUUCUGAAGUGAUGCAUUUUUGGAGGCAAGGUAAGUGUGGGGAAUGAUGGGACCCAUUCAUGAAGAGCAGAGGUUCCUUGGGGUACAAGUUCACAGAUCCCUAAAGGUUGGUACGCUAGACAGGAUGAUAAAGCAUGCAAUGUGGAAUGCUAGUCUUCAUUUGCUGGAGCAUAACAACAACUUUAUAAAACAUCUAGAAUAUUGUGUUGAUUUUGAUGCUACCAUAUAAAAAAAAUUGCUUUGGAGAAAGUGUGAAGUAAAUCCACUAAUAAAUCUGCCUCAGAUAUGAAGAGAAGCCGUAUGAGCCGAGUUUAUUUUCCUUUGGACAGAUCUGAUAGUGAUGUAUAAACCCAUAGAAGUGUGAUGUAUAAUAAGAGGGCAUUAGUUAAAGUAAGGAGUAAGAGUUUCAGAGAGGAUAUUAAGAAUUGUUUUCACCCAGUGACAGAUUGAUAUUUGCGUGCACUGGCUAAAAGCGUGAUGGUGGAGGCUGAAAAUACCUACAUUUGAAUCUCUAAGGCAUGGUAGACUACUGAGUAAAUGUUGUAUAAGAGGAAUUAAUGUAAUGGCUACUUGAUGGUCUACAUCAGGGGUCAGCAACCUUUACCACUGAAAGAGCCACUUGGACCCGUUUCCCACAGAAAAGAAAACACUGGGAGCCGCAAAACCCGUUUGACAUUUAAAAUGAAAUAACACUGCAUACAACGUUUUGUUUUUUCUUUAUGCUAUGUAUAAACAAACUAUAAUGUGUUGCAUUUAUGAAAUUGAUGAACUCCUGCAGAGAAAACGAAAUUACAUUUCUGCAUGCAACAAAAACAUUUUGAACUCCGAAAAAAAGACGUUGGGUUGAAGGUUACUUUUAAGUAAAAUACUCAACGUCUAUUUGAGUCCUUCUUGUAUUUAAGAAAAACGCCAAACUUAAAUUUGCCGCCAGCAGCAAACCAAAAAUAACGUCAGCCAGCUGUCAACCUGAAAAAUAAAAGGACUAUUUCACUGAACAAUGAAAACAUAUGAAUAUACGUAAAAUAAUAGGCAAUUAAAAUAUUUAUCAUACUUGUUCAGGUUGACUCACACCUGACAAUGCAGUCGUAUUCAGUAGGGAUGGAUCGAUGCUUAGGGGAGUGACCGGGAAGGAUAAUGUGUUUUUUUCCUCUCUGAACUCACAGAAGCGUUUCCCAAACGAUGUUUGCAUUGCGAUGAUUGCAGAAUGUAAAUACUCCGAAUUUAUCAUGUCGUGACCUUGUUUGAACUCUCUCAAAUUGGGGAAGUGAGACAAUGUGCCUUUCUGUAAAUCUCUGGCAAGCAACGUCAACUUGCGCUCGAAUGCCAAAACAUCCUCCAACAUGUGCAGGGCUGUACUUCCUUACCCCUGAAGAGCUGUGUUCAGCGUGUUCAGAGUUGUCCAUCAUGAUGAUUGCCUAGAUAAGACAUUGUACCCAUGCAUUAUCAAAAAACCCUGGAUGUGGACUCGGAAGUGCUCAGUUUGUAAGUUAUUUAUAGUCAGGUGGGUGACCAACAAUGAUAGUUUUGCC